rnacentral:rRNA from 1 species
AGUGAACGCUGGCGGUAGGCCUAACACAUGCAAGUCGAACGCAGCACAGUAAGAGCUUGCUCUUACGGGUGGCGAGUGGCGGACGGGUGGGGAAUACAUCGGAAUCUACUUUUUCGUGGGGGAUAACGUAGGGAAACUUACGCUAAUACCGCAUACGACCUACGGGUGAAAGCAGGGGAUCUUCGGACCUUGCGCGAUUGAAUGAGCCGAUGUCGGAUUAGCUAGUUGGCGGGGUAAAGGCCCACCAAGGCGACGAUCCGUAGCUGGUCUGAGAGGAUGAUCAGCCACACUGGAACUGAGACACGGUCCAGACUCCUACGGGAGGCAGCAGUGGGGAAUAUUGGACAAUGGGCGCAAGCCUGAUCCAGCCAUACCGCGUGGGUGAAGAAGGCCUUCGGGUUGUAAAGCCCUUUUGUUGGGAAAGAAAAGCAGCAGGUUAAUACCCCGCUGUUCUGACGGUACCCAAAGAAUAAGCACCGGCUAACUUCGUG